rnacentral:rRNA from 1 species
UGGGAAUAUUGCACAAUGGGGGAAACCCUGAUGCAGCGACGCCGCGUGAACGAAGAAGGUAUUUGUAUAGUAAAGUUCCUUCCUAUGGGAAGAUAAUUACAGUACCAUAGAAGAAAGCGCCGGCUAAAUACGUGGCAGCAGCCGCGGUAAUACGUAUGGAGCGAGCGUUGUUCGGAAUUAUUGGGCGUAAAGGGUACGCAGGCGGUUUAAUAAGUCGAAUGGUAAAGAUCGGGGGUCAACCCCGCAAAGCAUUGGAAACUGAUAAACUUGAGUAGUGGAGAGGAAAGUGGAAUUCCUAGUGUAGUGGUGAAAUACGUAGAUAUUAGGAGGAAUACCAGUAGCGAAGGCGAGUUUCUGGACACAAACUGACGCUGAGGUACGAAAGCGUGGGGAGCAAACAGG